UCUCUCUAGGAACUUCAGGCAGCAGAGAAACCCAUGACCCAUCUCAUCGUGACCCCAUCGUCGUUACCGAAUCAUUGUCAUCUCCUUUAUUUCCGAAUCGCCAUCAUCUCUCUCUCUCUCUCUCUCUAGUGCCGAAACCCUAGCUCAUGCCACGCUUCCUCUACUGAUCAAAGAUCUAUUCUUCAUGACCAUCUUCUUCUACUUUUCACUCCAUUUGGUUAGAUUUGCUAUUUUAUUUUAAUGAUUUUUUUUUCCUGUUACCAGAUUUGUAAGAGGGUCCCAAACCAGCGGAUGUUUGUGGCUAUCGGGUAGAACUAACCACUUUGGGUGCUCUCUAGUGAGGUUCCUAACAGUCUGGGGUUAAUGGCUCUCCUGUUCUAGAACCUACAAUGGCUAUUCUGAGAUAGGAAAUUGAUCAAAAAUUAAAUUCAGUUGUGGAGAAAUGCAUUAAUUGCAUGAAGCAGACAUAUUGUGUAUUGGUGGCUCUAUGUAAUCCACUUUUGAUAUGUAAUUUCAUAUAUUGUAAUUGGCGUUUUGUAAUGUAUAAAUACCAAAUAAUAAAAUAUGUAGUGAUUGCAUUAUGUUU